GCUGGGCGUGGUGGCUCAUGCCUGUAAUCCCAGUGACUUGGGAGGCUGAGGUAGGAAGAUCACAAGUUUAAGGCCAGCCUCAGCAAUUUAGUGAGGCCCUAGCAAUUUAACAAGACCCUGUCUCAA
rnacentral:sRNA from 1 species